UGGGGAAUAUUGCACAAUGGGCGCAAGCCUGAUGCAGCCAUGCCGCGUGUGUGAAGAAGGCCUUCGGGUUGUAAAGCACUUUCAGCGGGGAGGAAGGCGCUAAGGUUAAUAACCUUGGCGAUUGACGUUACCCGCAGAAGAAGCACCGGCUAACUCCGUGCCAGCAGCCGCGGUAAUACGGAGGGUGCAAGCGUUAAUCGGAAUUACUGGGCGUAAAGCGCACGCAGGCGGUUUGUUAAGUCAGAUGUGAAAUCCCCGGGCUCAACCUGGGAACUGCAUCUGAUACUGGCAAGCUUGAGUCUCGUAGAGGGGGGUAGAAUUCCAGGUGUAGCGGUGAAAUGCGUAGAGAUCUGGAGGAAUACCGGUGGCGAAGGCGGCCCCCUGGACGAAGACUGACGCUCAGGUGCGAAAGCGUGGGGAGCAAACAGG
rnacentral:rRNA from 1 species